GGCGAAGCCAUCACCACACUUAUAUAAAGUGAUUAACAUAAGUGAUGGGUGGUCGAGCAUUGAGUGUUGAAAAGAAGCCGAGUGGCAAACGGGUGAGUAACGCGUAGACAACCUGCCGCAAAGAUGGGGACAACAGUCCGAAAGGACUGCUAAUACCGAAUGUUGUGCAACCUCCGCAUGGAGGAUGCAUUAAAGAUGGCCUCUACUUGUAAGCUAUCGCUUUGCGAUGGGUCUGCGUCUGAUUAGCUAGUUGGUGGGGUAACGGCCUACCAAGGCGACGAUCAGUAGCCGGUCUGAGAGGAUGAACGGCCACAUUGGAACUGAGACACGGUCCAGACUCCUACGGGAGGCAGCAGUGGGGAAUCUUCCGCAAUGGGCGAAAGCCUGACGGAGCAACGCCGCGUGAGUGAAGAAGGUCUUCGGAUCGUAAAGCUCUGUUGUCGGGGACGAAUGUACCUUUUGUGAAUAAUGAGAGGUAAUGACGGUACCUGACGAGGAAGCCACGGCUAACUAC
rnacentral:rRNA from 1 species